GGAUGGACCCGCGUCUGAUUAGCUAGUUGGUAAGGUAACGGCUUACCAAGGCGACGAUCAGUAGCCGACCUGAGAGGGUGAUCGGCCACAUUGGAACUGAGACACGGUCCAAACUCCUACGGGAGGCAGCAGUGGGGAAUAUUGCACAAUGGGCGAAAGCCUGAUGCAGCAACGCCGCGUGAGUGAUGAAGGCCUUCGGGUCGUAAAACUCUGUCCUCAAGGAAGAUAAUGACGGUACUUGAGGAGGAAGCCCCGGCUAACUACGUGCCAGCAGCCGCGGUAAUACGUAGGGGGCUAGCGUUAUCCGGAUUUACUGGGCGUAAAGGGUGCGUAGGCGGUCUUUCAAGUCAGGAGUGAAAGGCUACGGCUCAACCGUAGUAAGCUCUUGAAACUGGGAGACUUGAGUGCAGGAGAGGAGAGUGGAAUUCCUAGUGUAGCGGUGAAAUGCGUAGAUAUUAGGAGGAACACCAGUUGCGAAGGCGGCUCUCUGGACUGUA
rnacentral:rRNA from 1 species